UACGGGGGGGGCAAGCGUUGUUCGGAAUUACUGGGCGUAAAGGGCGCGUAGGUGGUUGGAUAAGUCAGCUGUGAAAACCACGGGCUUAACUCGUGGCCUGCAGUUGAGACUGUCUGGCUUGAGUGUGGGAGAGGAGAGUGGAAUUCCUGGUGUAGCGGUGAAAUGCGUAGAUAUCAGGAAGAACAUCGGUGGCGAAGGCGGCCUGCUGGGCUGUUGCUGACGCUGAGGCGCGACAGCGUGGGGAGCAAACAGG
rnacentral:rRNA from 1 species